CAAUAGCGUAUAUUAAAGUUGUUGCAGUUAAAAAGCUCGUAGUUGGAUUUCUGACCAAAACUUCCGGUCCUGCGCUGUGCGUUGUGAACUGUGUAAGUUUUGGUCAUCCUUGUGGGGAAUUCAGUUUGACAUUAAGUUGUCGGCUGGUGGAACCACAUCGUUUACUGUGAAAAAAUUAGAGUGUUCAAAGCAGGCUUAGGCUGUGAAUACAUUAGCAUGGAAUAAUAAGAUAGGACUUUGGUUCUAUUUUGUUGGUUGGAGGCCAAGGUAAUGAUUAAUAGGGAUAGUUGGGGGUAUUCAUAUUUAAUUGUCAGAGGUGAAAUUCUUGGAUUUAUGAAAGAUGAACUUAUGCGAAAGCAUUUACCAAGGAUGUUUUCAUUA
rnacentral:rRNA from 1 species